GAUGAACGCUGGCGGCGUGCCUAAUACAUGCAAGUCGAGCGAACGGACGAGAAGCUUGCUUCUCUGACGUUAGCGGCGGACGGGUGAGUAACACGUGGAUAACCCACCUAUAAGACUGGGAUAACUUCGGGACACCGGAGCUAAUACCGGAUAAUAUUUUGAACCGCAUGGUUCAAUAGUGAAAGACGGUCUUGCUGUCACUUAUAGAUGGAUCCGCGCUGCAUUAGCUAGUUGGUAAGGUAACGGCUUACCAAGGCAACGAUGCAUAGCCGACCUAAGGGAGUGGUCGGCCACACUAGAACUGAGCCACGGUCCAGACUCCUACGGGAGGCAGCAGUAGGGAAUCUUCCGCAGUAGGCGAGAGCCUGACGGAGCGACGCCGCGUGAGUGAUGAAAGUCUUCGGAUCGUAAAACUCUGUUAUUAGGGAAGAACAUAUGUGUAAGUAACUGUGCACAUCUUGACGGUACCUAGUCAGAAAGCCACGGCUAACUACGUG
rnacentral:rRNA from 1 species